UGGGGAAUAUUGCACAAUGGGCGCAAGCCUGAUGCAGCAACGCCGCGUGAAGGAAGACGGUUUUCGGAUUGUAAACUUCUGUUCUUAGUGAAGAAUAAUGACGGUAGCUAAGGAGCAAGCCACGGCUAACUACGUGCCAGCAGCCGCGGUAAUACGUAGGUGGCAAGCGUUGUCCGGAAUUACUGGGUGUAAAGGGAGCGCAGGCGGGUGAUCAAGUCAGCUGUGAAAACUACGGGCUUAACCCGUAGACUGCAGUUGAAACUGUUCAUCUUGAGUGAAGUAGAGGUUGGCGGAAUUCCGAGUGUAGCGGUGAAAUGCGUAGAUAUUCGGAGGAACACCGGUGGCGAAGGCGGCCAACUGGGCUUUAACUGACGCUGAGGCUCGAAAGUGUGGGGAGCAAACAGG
rnacentral:rRNA from 1 species